rnacentral:tRNA from 1 species
AUUUAUAUAGUAUAAAAAUUACAAUUGAUUUCCAAUCAAAAAAUCUAGAAACUUUAGUAUAAAUA